GCCUCUGUGGUGUAGUUGGUAGUAGCACGCGUUUCCGUAUGGAUGAAACGCGGUUCGAUUCCCGUCUGAGGCC